AGUGAACGCUGGCGGUAUGCCUAACACAUGCAAGUCGAACGGCAGCACAGUAAGAGCUUGCUCUUACGGGUGGCGAGUUGCGGACGGGUGAGGAAUACAUCGGAAUCUACUUUUUCGUGGGGGAUAACGUAGGGAAACUUACGCUAAUACCGCAUACGACCUACGGGUGAAAGCAGGGGAUCUUCGGACCUUGCGCGAUUGAAUGAGCCGAUGUCGGAUUAGCUAGUUGGCGGGGUAAAGGCCCACCAAGGCGACGAUCCGUAGCUGGUCUGAGAGGAUGAUCAGCCACACUGGAACUGAGACACGGUCCAGACUCCUACGGGAGGCAGCAGUGGGGAAUAUUGGACAAUGGGCGAAAGCCUGAUACAGCCAUACCGCGUGGGUGAAGAAGGCCUUCGGGUUGUAAAGCCCUUUUGUUGGGAAAGAAAAGCAGCAGGUUAAUACCCCGCUGUUCUGACGGUACCCAAAGAAUAAGCACCGGCUAACUUCGUG
rnacentral:rRNA from 1 species